rnacentral:rRNA from 1 species
GGUGAACGCUGGCGGCGUGCUUAAGACAUGCAAGUCGAACGGCAGUCUUCGGACUGUAGUGGCGCACGGGCGAGUAACGCGUAACUGACCUACCCCAAAGUCGCGGAUAACGAUUCGAAAGAAUCGCUAAUACGUGAUGUGCUGUCAGAUUGUGUUCUGCCAGUAAAGAUUGAUUGCUUUGGGAUGGGGUUGCGUUCCAUCAGCUAGUUGGUGGGGUAAAGGCCCACCAAGGCGACGACGGAUAGCCGGCCUGAGAGGGUGGCCGGCCACAGGGGCACUGGGACACGGGUCCCACUCCUACGGGAGGCAGCAGUUAGGAAUCUUCCACAAUGGGCGAAAGCCUGAUGGAGCGACGCCGCGUGAGGGAUGAAGGUCUUCGGAUCGUAAACCUCUGAAUCAGGGACGAAAGACACUUCGGUGGGAUGACGGUACCUGAGUAAUAGCACCGGCUAACUCCGUGCCAGCAGCCGCCGUAAUAC